rnacentral:rRNA from 1 species
AAUCAACGCUGGCGGCGUGCCUAACACAUGCAAGUCGAACGAGAAAGUGGGGGCAACUCCAUGAGUAAAGUGGCAGACGGGUGAGUAACACGUGAACAACCUACCCUCGAGUGUGGAAUAACACCGCGAAAGCGGUGCUAAUACCGCAUAACAUCUUCGGGUCGCAUGAUCUGAAGAUCAAAAGCGCAAGUUGCUUGAGGAGGGGUUCGCGCCUGAUUAGCUAGUUGGUGAGGUAACGGCCCACCCAAGGCAACGAUCAGUAGCCGGCCUGAGAGGGCGAACGGCCACACUGGAACUGAGACACGGUCCAGACUCCUACGGGAGGCAGCAGUGGGGAAGUUUUGCGCAAUGGGCGAAAGCCUGACGCAGCAACGCCGCGUGGAGGGAUGAAGGUCUUCGGAUCGUAAACUCCUGUCAGUGGGGACGAAUGCUUCGCAAGAAGUUUGACUGUACCCGCUGAGGAAGCCACGGCUAACUCCGUCGCCAGCAGCCGG